GGGCGGUUAGCUCAGUUGGUAGAGCAACGCAUUUACACUGCGAAGGUCGGGGGUUCGAGCCCUCCACCGCCCA
rnacentral:tRNA from 1 species